ACUCCUACGGGAGGCAGCAGUGGGGAAUAUUGCACAAUGGGCGCAAGCCUGAUGCAGCCAUGCCGCGUGUAUGAAGAAGGCCUUCGGGUUGUAAAGUACUUUCAGCAGUGAGGAAGGCGGGUACGUUAAUAGCGUGCUCGUUUGACGUUAGCUGCAGAAGAAGCACCGGCUAACUCCGUGCCAGCAGCCGCGGUAAUACGGAGGGUGCGAGCGUUAAUCGGAAUUACUGGGCGUAAAGCGCAUGCAGGUGGUUGUUAAGUCAGAUGUGAAAGCCCGGGGCUCAACCUCGGAAUUGCAUUUGAAACUGGCAGACUAGAGUACUGUAGAGGGGGGUAGAAUUUCAGGUGUAGCGGUGAAAUGCGUAGAGAUCUGAAGGAUACCGGUGGCGAAGGCGGCCCCCUGGACAGAUACUGACACUCAGAUGCGAAAGCGUGGGGAGCAAACA
rnacentral:rRNA from 1 species